GCGUAAGAACAAUAGACCAUGGGCAUGGAUGGCCGAGUCUGGGGAUCAGCAUCGUAAUUUGUUGAGAAGGAGGCCGUGCUGUGCUGCCAGUUAUUAAUUGGUUUAAUCGGUUGAUACACAGCCCUACUGGCCUAACCAGUAGCCCAGGGCCCUGGAGGAUUUGCAGGUCGUGUCAGAAUUUGAUUGCAGUUCCUUCCACUUGGCAUAAGGAGACACUAUCAGCCUGAUUGGGAGGGUGAUGGUGGGAUGGAGCCUGCCGAGGUGGCGGCGCUGAGCUGACCACACCACCGGCCAUAGAGUGGGAGCCUUUCCUGCCCGCUUAACUGCAGCUAAUAUCAAAAGCACUGGUAUGGGCUGUCUAUCUGUGCUGGAACCUGAGUUUAUCUUUGUCUGCAAUUACGAUUCUUCUGGGUUUAUUUUGCCAGCUCAUUAUCCAGCCCCCUGGAAUCAGGCCUCCCAAAUUUAGCAGGUGCUGGGGAGGACCCUAGGGAGUGGUUUAUGGGGGCUAGCUGGUGAAACUGCCCUUUCCUUUCUGUUCUAUGAGUGUGAUGGUGUUUGAGAAAAUGUGGGGCUAUGGUUCAGGCGCACUUCACAUGUGCAAAGAUGGAGAAAGCACUCACCUACACGUUUAGGCUCAGAAUAUUGAUUGAAACAUUUUGAAUGAUCAAAAAUAAAAUGUUAUUUUUAAAGUUUC
ensembl:lncRNA novel transcript, sense intronic to novel transcript